AUGACGAUGCUGCUUAUGAAAAAGUUCUCAUGACUUGGGGAAUGCCACGUGUAUCAACUAUUUCCUUUCCUACUCAAGAGAAAAUACGAAUUCUUUGAUGAUGGAGGAGCGAGCUGCGUGCAAUGGUGUCCGAGGGAGUCGGAAGAGCAGGGGGUUCCACUGGAACGAAAGGUCUGUGAGGUCGCAGUCCGGAGGCCAGGACCCCGGCCCUCCGUCGCCCACAGCGCAGCCGUCACCAGCUGCCGGGCGUUCCUGUCUUUGGGAACUCAGCUCAGGCCACUUCCUACAUAGACCUUCUCCGUCCCUCCCGCACCUGGAUGGCUGCUCACUUCCUUGACCUUUCCCCUCGGUGCCCAGUUUAGCUGUGUUUGCGUUUUUUUUGUUUUAUCCUUUUGGAGUGUAAGGUUCUAGAUGUUGCAGUAGGAACUGCAUCUUACAUGGCUGGCAUCCCUUGUAGCAUCUUAAACAAAGUAAGCACUCAUUCAUUCAUUCAUUCACUCAUUCAUUCAUUCAAGUGAAAUUGGCCAACGGGCUGCUCUGUGCCUGGUGCUGCUGUAGGUGCUCGGGGUAUAGAAUGAAAGUCUCUGUUUUUAUUGAGCUCUUUUGGUGUUAGAAUUGCUGCUUCUUUGAUUAAUGUAUUGAUUUAAAAAAAAGUCUAAAUUUG